rnacentral:rRNA from 1 species
AUUGAACGCUGGCGGCAGGCCUAACACAUGCAAGUCGAGCGGAGCGGCGGACGGGCGAGUAAUGCCUAGGAAUCUGCCUGGCAGUGGGGGAUAACGUCAGGAAACGGGCGCUAAUACCGCACACUAUCAGAUGCGCCUAGGUCGGAUUAGCUAGUGGGUGGGGUAAAGGCCUACCAAGGCGCCGAUCCGUAACGGGUCAGAGAGGAUGAUCAGUCACACGGGAACUGAGACACGGUCCAGCCUCCUACGGGAGGCAGCAGUGGGGAAUAUUGGACAAUGGGCGAAAGCCUGAUCCAGCCAGGCCGCGUGGAUGAAGAAGGCCUUCGGGUUGUAAAGUACGUUCAGCGGGGAGGCGUUACCCGCAGAAGAAGCACCGGCUAACUCCGUGCCAGCAGCCGCGGUAAUUC